rnacentral:piRNA from 1 species
UGAAACUAUUCCCAACAAGACACUAUGC